UUCUCUUCUCUCCCCUUCUUCUCGUCUCCUUCCUCCGGCCUGUAUUUGCUUACUGCACCACAGUAAUUAUUUCUUCAGAGAGGAGAAGAUGACAGGUCCUGGAAUCCAAAUUUCCUUCAUGAACAAAUGAAGCACAAUCCUUUGCAGUAGUUGAAGUUUCAGACUGAAUAAAUUACAUUGGAGCACCUGAAGUUUCAGACUGAAUAUAUUAUGUUGGCCACCUGCAUUUGGAAAACUUAUCCGAUGUAGCAUGUACAUUUAUUUUCCUAGAAGGCCAUUGCUCUUGUCGUUAUUAGCAGCUCACGUUCCAAAAGUGCCGGUGGAAUUUUUUGAAAUUAGUAGUGCAGUUUGCAUCUUUGUAACAGAACAUGUUAUACGAUCAAUAUUAACGAUAAAAAUUGGACUCUGUGUGUAGUGUAUGGGAAGUUUUAAGUGAUUAUGCGAAUAUGCUUUUCCUUCGUUUGUGCAUCAGAUUUCACAACCAAUAUUUAUUUAUUUUAGAGACUGGAAAAUGAAGAGAGAGAUUAUGGGGUGUGGUGGCCAUUAGUUGCUUCCGCUGUAUGUUGACCUACUUGCCUUUCCUUUCAUUAUACAUGCAGCCAAAAUUUAUGGGGGGUGUUAUAUAAGCUGGCAACUGAUUAUAUUGUAGACCAUCUGCUCGCAGCUGGUCUAGGAUUAUUGUUAUUGCUUCAGGGUUCAUAUGAAACAUAUUUCCCUUUUGACAAUUUGGACAUGUUAUUUCCUAAGUGCUAGCUCCAAAAUAGGACAUUGAAAUCUUAGUUUCACAUUGGAUGUUUGGAACAUAAAUUGAGUACCCUUAGUAAUAAACAGAAACCAUAUUCUCAAUAGACUAAUAUUUAUUGUUGAACGUGCCUUUUGCUUUUGAAAUGAUAAUUAUUACUUAGCAUGUGAUCUUGCUUAGUAAUAAACUAAACCAUAUUUUAGUGUUUCAUUUUCCUCAAUUACCAAGUUUAACAUCCACCUUUUUAUCUAAUACACUCCAUUAUACUCAAAUAUGUUCUUUACAACCCACAUGUGUCGCAUUUUUUCUGCUAACAGGAGAGUACCACAUUUGUGUAGACUUUAAUUUCUUACAUUCGUUACUUUCAGCCACUGAACAAACCAAGGUAUAGAAAGACAAACACGAAAAAGGCUACCUGUUGGCUGUCGGUGCUGAGCUGACGGACAGUGUGGAAGAAGAAGGUGUGAUCUUGGCAGCGGCCCAUGAAGCAUUUUUUUCUUUGCAUGUUGAUCACUACUGCACUGUUCAGGUUCUUAAUCAAGUGACUGAUUGACUGUGAUUGUGGGUCACAAGCAAGGGAAUGCUAACCGUGGUGGUGGUGGUGAUUGAAGAGCCCUUAAUCAAUUCGGCCAUGUAGAUUGGAGCAGCAACCUGGGAUAUUGCACCAUCUAGCUCCAUUUGUCUGAUUCAUCUUCUUUUCCUGGUCUAUCAACUGGAGGAAUCUACAGAUUCGUGAAUACGUUCCUAACCUCGCGCAAUCGAUAGUCGGUCUGAUCUUGUCCUCCAACGACCAAGAGUUCCGAGAUGAAUGUGUGGUGCCCCUCGCGAAACAUAGGGACAUGGCAGAAAGUAGCAAGUCCCCAAGUUGAUCUAAGAUGUUCCGGUGUUCACUUUUGUUCAUAACAUGGUAGAUACAUUUUGUUCAUAUAGAAGUUGAUGCCGGCUUGGUGAUUGAAGGAUUGGUCUCUUUCAUAAUACUCCCUCUGUACCGAAAUACUUGUAGUUGGGGCCCCCAAUUACAAGAAUUUCGUUACAGAGGGAGUAUUAGUAAUCAAGUGAUCGAACAAUUGGUCUCUUAGGAGCUUAGCCUUUAUAUUUUGCUGCAGUACAGGUCUUGUAUGUCGACUUAUGUAUUACCUUCAUGGUUGUAGCAAACUUGAGUGAAUAUAACAAAUGUUCAAUAUAUGUUGAAUAAAUGUACUAGUGAAUGGUGUCUUGUGAUGA